CAACCACGCCCGGCCUGUCUGUCCAACCUUAACUUAUAUUUAACAAUGGUUUGUAUAUUUUAUGGUUCUCUGUAUUGGGUUUGACUUUUUUUUUUUUAAAGUUUUAUGUGCUUUGCUGAUUGGCCUUACAUGUAUGUCUAUGUGAGGGUGUCUUAUUCCCUAGAACUGAAGUUACAGAUAGGUGUGAGCUGCCAUGUAUGCUCUGGGAAUUAAACCUGGGUCUCUGGAAGAGCAGCCAGUGCUCUUAACCACUGAACCAUCUCUCCAGCACCCAAGGGUUUUCUGUCUUUCUCUCUUUCUUUUUUAUCUUCCUAUAUGAGUAAUUGGCCUGCGUGUAUGUGCACCAUGUGAGCUCAGUACCCACAGGAAGAGAGCCUUGAACCCCCUGAAACUGGAGUUACAUACGGUUGUGAGGCACCACGUGGAUGAUGGGAAUUGAACAUCUAUAAGGAUGCUCUAGCCACCGAGCCAUCUUUCCAAUUCCUACAUGAUGUUAUAAUGCCUUAACAGUGAACCUUAAACCAAGCUUUGGUGGUUCAUGCUUGUAAUCCCGGCACUCAGGAGGCUGAAGCAGUAGGAUCAAGAAUUCCAGGCUAGCCGGGCGUGGUAGCACACACCUUUAAUCCCAGCACUCGGGAGGCAGAGGCAGAUGGAUUUCUGAGUUCAAGGCCAGCCACCUGGUCUACAAAGUGAGUUCCAGGACAGCCAGGGCUAUACAGAGAAACCCUAUCUUAAAAAACAAAAAAAGAAUUCCAGGCUAGCUUGGGCGAUAUAGAGAUCCUAUCUCUUAAAGAAGGAGAAGGAUUAGGAUUCUCAUCUUCGUAGUUAGAUGCCCCAGGAAAUCAGUGAAUGGGGAAAGCAUUUAAAUGAAAGAAGCCUUGGUCUGGGCCCGGACAGCUCAGGAAUGAGGCCCCUUGCUGUUCAGUGGGCUUUCUCGGAGUUGUUGGGCAGAUGGCAGAAGCCAGCUGCACCUAGGCAGAUAUGAGCCCUGUUUUGUAGUGGUUGGUUGCCAGAGGGAAGCGGUCACCUGUUUACCUCUCAGCAAGCAAGCUAGGAGCAUGCCUGGGUUGUGACGCGUUCACUGAGGGAACCUAGUCCUCUCUUAUCAGAGGGUAGGCCAAUCUUCCUACCACUAAUGCUAACAUUUCUGGUACAAAGACAGCUGUGAGGGCAUGUCCUGUUCUUCAAAGGGACCGUCCUUAUACGGGAAAGCAGCUGCUUUUCCUCGGCCCCCACUCCUGGCUGCCUCCUCCCCCUCAACACGAUGUCUGCUAAGGAGUUUCCUCCAUUGUGCCUCGGGCAGACGUUGCUCAGGUUCUUAUCUGCUGCCUGCUUAUCAGAGCUAACUGUGCUAGGGGUGGUGAGACAGACACCUCAGUGUGGAAAGCAUCGGCCAGGCAAGCCCAGCGGCGAGCCUCCGAGGAUCUCACACACAGAGUGGUAGAAGGAAAGACUGCUGCAUAGAGCUGCCCUCUGAGCCUCACACAGUUGACACACACAAGAUGCACAUCAAAAGAAAAAAAAGAGCUAAGCCAGGGAGACCCCAAGGCCGCCAAAGUUACAAAGAUACACACUUCACUCAGUGGGGCUGGAGAGAUGGCGCAGUGGGUAGCGUGCUCCUCUUCCAGAGGCUCAGAGUUCAGUGUCCAGCACUCAGGUCAGGUGGCUCAUAACUACCUGUGACUCUGGUUCCAGGGAAUCCAGUGACCUCUUCUGGCUUGCACGUGUGAGUGUGUGUGUGUGUGUGUGUGUGUGUGUGUGUGUGUAUAUACUCAUAAAUAGAAAAAAAAAAGAUAUACACUAUACACCGGGAGCCAAAGGCUUAGGAAAUAAUCACACAGAUUUAAAAGAGGGAGAAGCGUCAGCUGGCAAUGCUCUGACUGGGACGAGAAAGCAAAGGAAUAGAAGUCAGCGAGGUGCUCUGUUCCGUUUUGAUUGUGUGUGUCUGGAGGCCAGAAGGAAGGAUUGAGCCGAGAGGAAAAACCUAGAAGAGAGAUAAGACAUAGCAUGCAGUGUAAGAGACAUCUUCAAAGACUGGAGGCACUGGGGCCAAGCACAGGGGCAAAGAUGCACUUUGAAUGGGAGAUGGGAUGCUUCUUGGCUGCAGAGUGGGAUUUUGUUUUAAUUCUUUAAAUUAUUUUAAAACAUAAUUUUGCCGGGAUGGAGAGAUGGCUCAGUGGUUAAGAGCACUGACUGCUCUUCCAGAGGUUUUGAGUUCACUUCCCAGCAACCACAUAUAACGGAAUUCAAUGUCCUCUUCUGGUAUGCAUGAAGACAGCAACAGUGUACUCACACACAUAGAAUAAGUAAAAUAAUAAUAAUUUUGCCUGCAUUUGUGUAUGUGUAUUACAUAUGUGCAGUUCCUGGACGUACAGAUAGCUGUGAGCUGCUUUGUGGGUGCUGGAAUAGAACCAAGGUCCUCACCAGGCGGUGGUGGCGCAGGCGUUUAGUCUCAGGACCCUCCUGCCUCUGCUUCCUGAGUACUGCCCCUGAAGGCAGGCACUACCCCCACCUAGCUUUAGUUUUUAAACUGGUGUCUGGAUGCAUGUGCCUGUGUGUCUGUGUGUGUGUGUGUGUGCCGUGAGCGUGUGUGUGUGUUCUUGAAGUCCAGAGAGUGAACUCUGGAAGAUCAGCAAAUACUUUCAACCACAGCGCCAUCUCUCAAGCCCCCGCUUUGGUUUACACUGUGCGUUCAUAGGGAGGUCAGAGGACAGCUUGUAGGAAUCAGUUCUUGACUUCCCCCAUAUGGGUUCCCGGGAACACACUCAGGUUGUCACUCGUGCCCAUUUCACCAGCGCCAUCUUGUUUGGGGGGCCAGUGUUUCAGAUAAGCUAAUGAACCCACGAGCUUCCAGGACAGUUUUCCUGUCUCCACCUUCUACAUCACCUUAGGAGUGCCAGAGUUACAGAUGUGAGCCACCUGUCUGGCUUGUUGUGGAUUUCAGGGUUCAGACUCAGGUUGCCAGGCGUGAAUGGCAAGCGCCCUUGUCCUCCUCACGGUCCCCGCCCCGUAGCCGCUUGUAGCAGAAAGUAUUUUACUGCAAUGGUUCUUUGCAAAUUCCUGACCACUACCUCUCGCCUUCUUCACA
rnacentral:lncRNA from 1 species